CACAAUCACCUUCACUACGGAUCGUCGGGCACGUACCUGCCCGUGAAAGGGACAUAU
rfam:Nesterenkonia sp. AN1 contig-15, whole genome shotgun sequence.